AUGUCCGACGAAUCGCCGGCGCCGGCGGCGACGGCCGCGGAGAAGGCCCAGCAAGACGAGCAGGCCGGCGGAGGGUGGGGGGGCUGGGGCCUCUCCGUGUUCUNNNNNNNNNNNNNNNNNGCGGUGGAGGUCGCCAAGAGCGCCAUCGCCGACAUCCAGCAGCCGCCGGAGCAGGAGGCGGAGCCCGAAGAGGGGGGAAAGAAGGAGAAUGGGCCGGAGGGGGAGGAGGGGGACGAGCGCCGCAAGGCGGCGCUGGAUAAGCUGGAGAACGCCAGCGAGGACUCGCUCCUGGGCCAGGGGCUCAAGGUCUUCGAUACCUCAGUGGAGAGCAUCACGACCGGGACGUGGCAGGCGCUUGGAAGUGCAUGGAGGAGUGGCUCGCUGAUUGUUCAGAAAUUGGAAACUUCUGCUUCAAGCCUUGCCGAAACCAUUCAGCAAGGAGAACUACCUGCCAAAGCAUCUGAAAUUGCACCAACCAUUUUAGAGACAGGGAAGUCAUUUACAGCCAAAGGAAUGGAAAUGCUUGAGCGUGUUGGGAAAGAGACGAUGGAGUUGAUCAUUGAAGAGACUGGUAUGGAAAUUGAAAAAGGAGGUACUGGCGAAGGUGACCAGCAAACAGAAGAGGAGCAGUCUGAAGAAGUAUCAUUCGACAGAUGUUUCUACAUUUAUGGAGGACCUGAUCAGUUGGAGGAACUGGAAGCACUGUCAAGUCACUAUGCGCUGCUAUUUAAUAGGAAGAAAACAAAACUUGUCGCUGAGCAGAAAACGUAUUAUGAUGGAAAGAUCAAAGAAAUACAGCAGCUAUUUACUCUUAGUACCAAGAUUGAGGAAAAUGGGCAAGACUCUGACAAAGGGAAGAAGAUUGAAGCAGCUGAUACUGAUGGUGAUGCAGAAAUGAAGAAGUUAUGUGACUCGAGUGUUAGCAAGGCUGCUAAAAUGGCUGCGGGGUUCGCAACUGGCUUGGGUGGACUUUCUCCGAGUGAUAUCAUCAAACGAACUACAGAUAGGCUAGAGACCAUUCACUCGGAGGGCGUUCAUAGAUUGUCAGAGAUGUGCUGCCUUGCAGUUUCUCAGCUUCUGGUGCUUGGGAAAUCAGUUAUCUCUGCUGCCAACAAAUCAAACGACGAAGAUGAAAGUGAUGUGAAAAUCGAUUGGCCUGAAGAUCUCAUCUCGAAGGCAGAAAUCAUCAGAUGGAGGGCGCAAUCCAUCGCUGUGGAUAUCGAGAAGGUCGCUACAAGUUUUGCUACAGGCAUCUCAGAUGUUGCGGAAGCUUAUGCAGCAGCGAUACAGAAUGCUCUGGCAGACAAGCAGGGCGAUGCCCUGCAUCAGUCGGUGCAGGAGAAAGCCAAGGACAUAUCCAGCCAUCUGAAAUCCGACCAGACGAGUGCCGUCAGCAAGUUACAAGACGCCCUCCAGUACCUCGCAUACGUUGUUGUCUGCACCUCGAUGCCCAGUGUUUAG
rnacentral:rRNA from 1 species